CUGACUGCAGUGCACGGACGGACCACUCACUGGCCAGCAGGCUGCGCUCUCGGUGAACUCUGGUGAAGAUAAUCAAUAAGGAAAAGGGAGAAAAAAUACGACACGAAUUUCGAGGGAAGCCAGAACGCCAUCUCGAUUGUCCAUUAAUCGACCGGAGCAGUGGGGAAGGGCAGCGUCCGAGCCGGAGAGAAGUCCGCCGAUCGACAUUGCCCUGCCUCGCCAUGAAGAAGCGACCGACCGAGGCGACCGAUCGACCGCAGCAACGAUGAAACAGGCAGGAGCGGUGGCAGCGGUGGCCAAACUACUUGAAAGGCGCAAUUAUCCAUCCAUCUCCGUGCAAGUCCCACGUACCCCACGAGAGCAGCAGCAUCCGUGAAUUGGGGACGGUUGAAAUUGUGCAAAAAAAGAAAAGAAAAGAAAAAAAAACGGAUGGAAAAGAAAAGGAAGGCGAAAGAGAGGUAAAAAGUAGCGUUCUUUUUUUCUUUCUUCCAAACUUUUAAAAGAGAAUAAAGGUGGAAGACAAAUCACAAAUGAACCCGGUUAACUCUUUCCUUGCGCCGCGGCGACCUCUUGCCCAACCCCGGCUGCACACCCAACCAAGCGAGUGGAAAAUCGUCCACACAGCAGACGAUCGCGUACGUACGUACUUCCCGUUUCGCGCGAGACAUGAAAUAUUCGCUGUCGUUCCGUGGCAGCCCCUUCACCUCCCUCCAACACACUCUGGCUCCACCGGGGAUCGUCCUUCUUCAGCCAUUCAAGGCUCCUCGCCACAGCGUGCGCGGCUGCGCGCCCGGCUGGAGAUCGGCUGGAGUUUGGAGCCAGCCGCGCAUGAGUUUGAGUGUGAGUGUGUGUGUGUGUCUCCCUCUCUCUUUCUUACUCACUUGGAUGCUGCUCCACCACCCCAACACAACACCGCAACGUUUCCAUCGCCCUCGCCUGAAUCGCCUCCGUUCCACAGCCAAACGAGGGAGGCUGUGUGUACUGACACUUCAUAAAUUCUUCGUUAUUCCACCGCUCCUGCAACCCAUGCCCCCUGCCCAGCAAUACUUUCCACCCCUAUCGACCCGCUGUGUGCGAGUGUGUGUCUGGCGCUGUGUGCUGUGGACGCCGUUGGCCCCGGGGACAGGCCUGCCCCGGCCAGGGCUAGGGUUGUUGUUUUGCGUUUUUUCGUGUAGCCUUUUUAACGAAUGACGAAAAAAGUAUUAUUGCUUCCUUUCCUGUGUUCUUGCACACACUGCUCUGCGAUCUUGCUCCUCCUGAUUCUACCCAGCGAUCAUCUCGUUUCUUUACGACCUUUCGGGGCUGGUUAUGGUCCUCCAGAACCAUGUUCUAUGUUCCGUUCCUUUGGCUUUCCUCCAUUAUUGCUUCUCCUUCUGCUCAUCGCUUCUCCCGAAACCCAACCAAACCAGCCAACGAACCUGCCAAACACCCCCAUGCCCUCGCCCUCCUGGCCCGUUGCCCUCACUCCCCGUUCCCAUUUAGCGUCGUCCAUCCUUUUCGCUCUCUCCCCCGGUGAUCUCGGGCUCGGUUGUCUCCUGCUGAUUUGGGCCGCGACGCUUGGGCAGGGAUUUUUUCGUUGUUCUUUUUCUCUCAUUUCUCCUUUAUCGUCCUCAUCCUGCUCAUCUCAUUAUAUUUCACAACGUUUUUUUCAGGUCCUUUCCUAGUCCCAAGUUGUGUUGUGUGUUUCUACUAUCACACACUUGAUUGAUUUUGUUCUUUCCUCCACCGUUUCUUCGCUGCGCGCUCUCUUCUCCUCCUUCGCAGCUCGCUCCGGAGCUCGUUUCCAUUCUCGAUCUCUUCGCUUCUUGCGAUCAGAUUGUUUCUGAGCUUUCUCGAAAUCAAGCCCAACAAAAAUUGAGAGGGAAAAAAAACAACUCAUCCAAUCAUUUCAUCGUUCCGUUCCCGUCUCCGCUCCUUGCCGCUGCAGGCAUCGUCCACUCCCCAGACGGGGGCGCAACGGGGUUGGAAACGAAAACAACCCGGAAUCACCCCGGGAAUGAAUGAGAGGGAAAAACUUGUUUUGGAAAUUCGUUCCCUGCCCUCGUCCUUUCGGUCACCCUCCCGCCCCGCUCGCCCGGGAUAUACGUGCCUGUAUGCGUAUGCCUCCCACGACAGGAGAAAGGGAAAAAAGCAACGCAAGCCUACGAUCCUCAUCCCAAAGCAUUCCACUGAUUUUCACUCCCUUUGCACUCACACACCUGCAACCUGCGCCAUCAACCACCAAGCUCAGGGGUUUCUUACCAGCGUUCUUUUUUCGGGUGCCCCGGACUGUCGCUCCUGCCUUCGUCCCGUGCCCUUUACCCCGAGCUGCACAACCCAGCUACCCACCACCACCCUUCCUACCUCUCGCUGCUUCGCCCGCAGUUUUGCUCGUUUUCUCGGAAGACAGAUUGAUCGUUUCCACGCAUCAGACGCACAUUACGAGAGCGACAUACGCAUGCAGACAAGCAUGCGUACACUUUAUUCUGCCUUUUUACAUGUUUUGCUUUUUUGAUUCUCCGUUUCACACUACACAACGACGCGGGGUUUUGUUGUUGUUGGUCCGUUCGUGAUUGUACUUCUCUUCUUUUUUGCUUCUUUUCUCUGGUGAGAGUGUGUUAAUCUUGCAUCACUGAUCGAACCGUUUGUUGGUUGGUCGCUUGUUGGCUUUCAGUCUUUUAUAUCGUCAAUUAGAUAUUUUUUUUCUCUAAAUUAUCCCUUCUUUUGUAACCUUCGCUGUGUUGCUAACCAUCUAAACACUGAGGACAAAACGCUCAGCCAUCGCGGGCUACUGCAAGUAGCAAGGGACUACAUUUCAAAUCUGCACGCAUCGACAACGCUAAUGAUGAUUGCCCUUUCGCUACACCUGACUCCGGUUCGGCUCUUACUAACGGGGUUUAUUCUAAAGCACACGAGGACAACUAACAAUGUACACAUAGAGACUGACUAACUUAACACAGGGAGAGCUUUACAACUAUUAACAGUUUGGGGCACGCACGCACAGCAUACAUGCAAUACAUAUUACAUACAUACAAACAUACAUACAUAAAUCCAUCUAGAGGAAUAUUAUCACGGGACAAGAUAUUUAAAAAGAAAACGCACAGACGGAGAACGACGACCUUCGCCCGGCAGCGUGGAGCCGCAGGAUGGUAGCGCACAAUAGUCCCCACCCCCCC